rnacentral:lncRNA from 1 species
GCACGAUUAGAUGAGUCUCGGACUCCGUGGUGUGCUUUCGCCCGAGAAGAAUUUCGGAAGCUGUGAACAUCAUGGAAACCGUGAAAGCGAAGCGCAAGGAUAGCCAAGAAUCGAUGAAGGUUGGAAAGCAGCACGAUGUACUGCAGCAGAUACUGGAAAACAGGAGGAGGCAGGUUGGGCGGGC